rnacentral:rRNA from 1 species
AUUGAACGCUGGCGGCAGGCCUAACACAUGCAAGUCGAGCGAGCGGCGGACGGGUGAGUAAUGUCUGGGAAACUGCCUGAUGGAGGGGGAUAACUACUGGAAACGGUAGCUAAUACCGCAUACCAUCAGAUGUGCCCAGAUGGGAUUAGCUAGUAGGUGGGUGAAAGGCUCACCUAGGCGACUAUCCAUAGCUGGUCUGAGAGGAUGACCAGCCACACUGGAACUGAGACACGGUCCAGAUUCCUACGGGAGUGAGCAGGGGGGAAUAUUGCAAAAUGGGCGAAAGCCUGAUGCCGCCAUGACGCGUGGAGGAAGAAGGCCUUCGGGUUGUAAAGAACGUUCAGCGAGGGGGCGUUACUCGCAGAAGAAGCACCGGCUAACUCCGUGCCAGCAGCCGCGGUAAUUA